rnacentral:lncRNA from 1 species
GUCUGUUGAAAGCAUCAACUAUCUUGGGAAAUGUCGUCUCCAGAUUUGAGUCAUGUUUUAGUGUAAUGUUUAAUCUUAUGUGAGGAUGUUGGAGAAACUACAGCAGGACACUAAGGAAUGAAGGUCAAAACCACAAAUGCAGGGAGCUAGAUGUAUCAUUAACUUUUUAAAUAUACUGAGUUAUAAGGUCAAAAAAUUACAGACAGAACUUCCAGCUUCUGCUGAUGGUGUAGGCAUCUGGAAAAUGUGUCUUUAUUAAAAUUACAUUUAAAAACGAGUGAUAUUCAGGGUCAUGACUUUCUGAACCCAUCAGAGAGCUGAAUUGCAGGGCAAUUAAAUAGUUUAAAAUGAAGGAAAGAGAGGUGCCUCCUACAAUAACAGAGAUGGGCUGCAAACAUUGGAUGACCUGUGGCAGAGCACGGAAAGAAGGCAAGGAUGACAGCUACAUGCAGACAAGGUCUCCAGAUUUGCCACCCAUGCUGAGUGCCGUGGUGUGAUCAUGGCUUAUUUCAACCUCAACCUCCCCCACUCAAGCGAUCCUCCUGCCUCAGCCUCUGGAGUAGCUGGGACUACAGGCACGCACCACCACACCCAGCCAUAAUUUGCCUCUUGCUGUAACUAAAAGGUCACAAAAACAAAGAAUUCUAAAAAAUCUUCUUCUUAAGUGGUAUGUUUAGUAUUUAUCAUGAUGACAAUGUUCUAAAUUGCACCUGCCUCCACUAGCAGAAUGCCAGGAUUACUGCCAGACAGAGAAUUCGGACUGCUGGUCCAGGGACAUAGCUAUGAAAUGCACCAAGGACAGCAGAGUGUGUUUUGGAGAAAGCCAGGUAGCUCUUGAUAGGGCCUAUAUGAGUACUUAUUCCUGCUGAUAGGAAAAAAAUGAUUAGAAAAAUCUCAUUUCUUUAUUCAUUUCUACUCUGAGAGCUUUUUACUUCUAGAAACACGGUCUUAGUUUUCUGUGUUAUUAUGUUUUUUUUUUGAAACUGACAAAAUUUCACAAUUAAUUUAUGUUCAUUCAAAUGUUUAAUAAUUAUACCUUGAAUUUGUCUUAUAAUUAGUAUUUUCUUGUUAUUUCCAACAAGAGAAAGUGUGCAGGAAAAGGGACUAGAUCAGGUUGAGAGAGCCAGGGGUGUUCAGUCAAGCAGGCAGAACUCAGGACACUGAACGGGGUGAGUAUGAGGCAGCCAGAGUCCCCAGACCCGCAGAGGAGGGUCCAAAGGACAGCUUUUCAUGAUCCAGGAAGGAAAUCUCCUUCAAUAACGUCUCUCCUUCAAGAAGCUGGGGGUGUCGCUGGGAUUUAACGUAGAGAUUCCAGUCUUAGAUUGAGGGAAGGAAGGGAGGCAAAAGGAAGGAAGCCUCGCAUCCUCAUGCGAAGAAGCCAGCUUGUAGAAAUGAAGCUCAAAAUGAUCCCUACAGCACAAGCAGUCCAGGGCAUGUGGACUCCUGCUGGGUUGGGGCCAGGACAGGAGAAGAAAGUUUGAUACAGGCCUGAGGCUCGGGAGCCCUGCACUGGCUGUGCGUCUCUACAACCAUCCCAGAGUCGGCCCAGGUACCAGGUCUUCUGGCUCAGAUAAAGAUCACACAUGACUCGCCUGAAAACUUGAGGCAGAGGUGUGCCAUUGUCACAAAAGGCGCUGUCAGGGUGGAGGCUCAGGGAAUGAUAGAGGAGCUCUUGAAUCACCCUGGAGAAAUUUUACCUCGGUCAGACAGCUACAGAGCCGACUUAAUAUUUUUAUUUAAAAUCUAGAUUAUUUGGGGGCUGGUUUGGAAAUGGGGGAGAUCUGUGAGUCCAGGCAUGGUAGCAGGAAGAGAAGAGGCUUCCUUGUAACCCUACUGACUCUUCCUCUCACUUGUCCCAAAAGCACAGGGUGAGAGACAAGAACAUUGGUACAGUGCGUUCAGGAAACUUUUCAACUUUUUAUGUGUAGUGUACCAAAAUAUUUUUUCACACAUGCAAAGACAGUGGUCAGGGGCUAUUCUGGCUUGUUAGAAAAAAGGAUGUGACGUUUUCCAGUCCCUGGGUGGGUCUCAGUUCUCUUAGAGGCUCUGCCUCUCACUCACACCUCUGCUAGAGGAAUGCGAGGAAGCUCUGACAAGAUUGUGAUCUGGGGACACGUUUGCCACCUCAGCGCCAAGGCUGACGUGGGGACAUGGGCUACUCAGUGAACGCACUUUACCCAGGAUACCAAGGGCACUUAAUGAUACCGACAGUUCUGUUUACAUCCUUCUCCACUGCCUCCAGCAUCAUUCAAGGCGUAAUCUCUUGGAAAAGUUUGAUUAGAAUGAAUUCUAGUUUGGCGUAGGUUAUUAUGCACCUAAAUUGGCUAAACUUAGCUUCAUAUAUCAAACAUAAGAUAUACAUCUCUAGAGAUGCGUCUGUGGAGACCUCCAUAGGCACCAGUAUAUAUUAUUCUAAGUUUUACCUCUUUUCUUGUGGAUUACUAACUUUGUGGUUCUCCCUUGAUUAGGUUUAUAUGCAAUUUUCUUAGAAAAUGUCAACUCCAAUUCUGCAACAUACUGAGCCCCUUUAUUGGAAACUUCAAAGUUCCUAGUCCAAUCCUAAUUCUAGAUCUUACUUCAUAUGUUGCUUUUAUCUUCUCUUGGGUAAUGGGUCAUUUCAAGGGUGAUUUUUUUGACUUUAUCUUAUUGGGGAUAUAAGUGCAGAUAAAGGAGAUACAGACGAGCAUUUAAUUUUUUUUUUCAGUGCAGUGAUUAUGGAGUCAGGGUAGUAUUUCUGCUGUGUAUGGUAAACUCCAUAGGAUCUCAUUUAUUCAUGGUUAAAGGCUUUCCUGGGGAAACCAGUAUGCUAACUUCAGGCAGAUAAUAAAACCUGAGGUAUAUGGAGAGUGUCUACUUUGACACAUUCAGGGCUAGCCCUCUCCUGCUGGUGCAGUUCAAUGUGAAUUUAGUCAUUUGUGGUCACUUAACAGCAAAGAGAUCUUUCUACAGAGUCUAGCUGUGCUGAUUAUCAAACUGGGGAAAAUUGAUGGCCAUUUGUUAUGGCUAAUAACACAGGUGCCGGUCAACUUUAUAAAAAUGUAGAAAAGUAUUUGCGGUGAAAAUUAUCCUAACCAUUGUGGAAAAAUGCCCAUCCCACUUCAAUUCAUAGCUGAAUACAUAUAGGAACUACAGUUCUCAGACCUGCAGUGAGUUCUGACCAAUGGAAUUCAGUGGGAUGAUAGAUGCUGCCUUUGAAGCCACCCCAUCAACUGGCUCAUCUCCUCCUGUCUCAGCUCUUUCUCCUGCUGCAUCCUGAUGCAGGACCACUGCACAACCUCACAAACCUUAUGUGGAAAGUAGUGGAGCCACCAGAUGUUAUGGGUAUCCUUUAAUGGAGAACUUUACACUACUUUGAAAUGACAGUUUUAUACUUUUCAUAAGAAAGAAAUAAACUUCCAUUGUACUAA